rnacentral:rRNA from 1 species
CCUACGUGUGGCAGCAGUGGGGAAUAUUGGACAAUGGGCGAAAGCCUGAUCCAGCCAUGCCGCGUGUGUGAAGAAGGCCUUCGGGUUGUAAAGCACUUUCAGUGGGGAAGAAAGCCUUGGGGCUAAUACCCUCGAGGAAGGACAUCACCCACAGAAGAAGCACCGGCUAACUCCGUGCCAGCAGCCGCGGUAAUACGGAGGGUGCGAGCGUUAAUCGGAAUUACUGGGCGUAAAGCGCGCGUAGGCGGUCUGAUAAGCCGGUUGUGAAAGCCCCGGGCUCAACCUGGGAACGGCAUCCGGAACUGUCAGGCUAGAGUGCAGGAGAGGAAGGGAGAAUUCCCGGUGUAGCGGUGAAAUGCGUAGAGAUCGGGAGGAAUACCAGUGGCGAAGGCGGCCUUCUGGACUGACACUGACGCUGAGGUGCGAAAGCGUGGGUAGCAAACAGGAUUAGAUACCCGUGUAGUC